GUUAAGCACUCCGCCUGGGGACUACGGUCGCAAGACUAAAACUCAAAGGAAUUGACGGGGACCCGCACAAGCGGUGGAGCAUGUGGUUUAAUUCGAUGCAACGCGAAAAACCUUACCACUUCUUGACAUGGAGGCUAGAUCCUUCUUAACGGAAGGGCGCAGUUCGGCUGGGCCUCGCACAGGUGCUGCAUGGCUGUCGUCAGCUCGUGUCGUGAGAUGUUGGGUUAAGUCCCGCAACGAGCGUAACCCUCAUCCUUAGUUACCAGCGGGUAAUGCCGGGCACUUUAAGGAAACUGCCAGUGAUAAACUGGAGGAAGGUGGGGAUGAUGUCAAGUCAGCACGGCCCUUAUGGGGUGGGCUACACACGUGCUACAAUGGCGACU
rnacentral:rRNA from 1 species